rnacentral:rRNA from 1 species
GUGGGGAAUCUUGCGCAAUGGGCGAAAGCCUGACGCAGCCAUGCCGCGUGAAUGAUGAAGGUCUUAGGAUUGUAAAAUUCUUUCACCGGGGACGAUAAUGACGGUACCCUGAGAAGAAGCCCCGGCUAACUUCGUGCCAGCAGCCGCGGUAAUACGAAGGGGGCUAGCGUUGCUCGGAAUUACUGGGCGUACAGGGCGCGUAGGCGGAUCGUUAAGUCAGGGGUGAAAUCCCAGAGCUCAACUCUGGAACUGCCCUUGAUACUGGCGAUCUUGAGUGUGAGAGAGGUAUGUGGAACUCCGAGUGUAGAGGUGAAAUGCGUAGAUAUUCGGAAGAACACCAGUGGCGAAGGCGACAUACUGGCUCAUUACUGACGCUGAGGCGCGAAAGCGUGGGGAGCAAACAGGAUUAGAUACCCUAGUAGUCC